UUUCCCGACAGUACUAUCAACAGAAUAGAAAGGAGCGUUUCAAGUUGUUAAAUGAAAUUAUCCUUCAUUUUUUUUCUACGACUUCAUUUCGUUUCUAUAGAUGGCCAGUGGACUCCAUUCCUGUAGGAAGAACUUCGUAAACUAGACGUAUUUGAAAUAUUAAAAUUUUUUUUUUGUUUGCUUAAAGGGCAACGAAAAAAAGACUAUCUACAAGUCUGCCGCACAAGACCGAUUGCAUUUCUGCUCUUCACCGUUCUUUUCCUUUCAUUAGUAUCUGUUAAUCUUUAAUAUUUCAAUGAACGUCAUCAAAAGCCAUGUCAGGAGAAGACUCGGUUGCACACCUACAACAGUAUCGCAACAUCAAAACGUCGACACACCUGCAUGCUUCUUAUUUCAAGCCGCUGCUUGUUGAACGGGGCAUGGGGAAUCAAAACCUAUCUUGGCAUCACUGACACAAAACAAGAAGUGACAGCAACUAUACCCUUGCUCUGCGUUCUGUUGGAGUGUAAAGAGUAAUUUGGACAAUGUUUGGAACUGUGCCAGGGUUCAGUGCACAGAUUAGAAAUCGUCCACAUCCAUAAUUGGUCCCGGGGCUGCUGAUUGCUACAGCUGCCACGUCCUCUUCCGCGAGGCGGCUAAAGGAGGAAGAAAGAAGGAAGAAGAAAAGGAAGAGAAAGAAAAGAGAGAGAGAGAGACGGAGGAUGCAGAAAGUAGUAUGGUGAGAGAGAACCGGUGUGAGCAGGCAUCUGGACAGUGAGCCCAAGCAGGGGUGUUUGGCCGACACUCUGUGGAGCAGAAGGAAGCAGUCACUCCAGCUGAGCGAACAAGGAGCUGGAGUGACCGGUGAAUGACGGCUGGCCGUGUAAGGCCGGGAAGGCAGCGGGAGUCGGGACUUGGGACAUGGAUUCCCCAGCGUAAGAGCCCUGGUCGUUGGGGAUCCCAAGUCGCUGUUUGGUGAAGCCUAUUGGAGCCAGGGAUCGAUCAGACGAACCAACCAGUAGAAGCAGGCAGAGAAGGUCAGCCACUGCAGAAUAGCGACUCUCCUGUUGCGAGGACCAUGUGGGAGAAGCAGGGGAGCUGACAGCUGAAAGACACCGGGCUUUGUUCUUUUAAAAAGACUACUUCCAACGUUGUUUUAACCUUGUCGUCGUUUUAAGGGAUUGUUUUUUUUUCUAUGGUGUUUUUAACCUCCACUUCAGCACUUGUUUUAUGGAUUAUUUAUUUAAUGAC